UACGGGGGGGGCAAGCGUUGUUCGGAAUUACUGGGCGUAAAGGGUGCGUAGGCGGUCGGGUAAGUCUGAUGUGAAAUCUCCGAGCUUAACUCGGAAAAUGCAUUGGAUACUAUUCGGCUGGAGAGUUGGAGGGGGGACUGGAAUACUUGGUGUAGCAGUGAAAUGCGUAGAUAUCAAGUGGAACACCAGUGGCGAAGGCGAGUCCCUGGACAACUUCUGACGCUGAGGCACGAAAGCUAGGGGAGCAAACAGG
rnacentral:rRNA from 1 species